AUGGUGACAACUGCUGGAGACGCUGGAGCGUGUGAAGGGCCGACCGUGGAAGGCGGCAUCGUCGGACAUGUUGCGGUCGACAUCGACAGGUCGGCGGUGACGGCUGAUCGGCAGGGGCAGGUUGGAACCGGGAGCGGCUGCAGAAUUUGCCAGCUUGAGGACGGCGACCUGCCGGCGGAGAGCGGGAGCGGGCAGUUGGUAAACCUCGGCUGCGGCUGCCGAGGCGAGAUCGCGGCGGCGCACCGGCGGUGCGCCGAGGCAUGGUUCUCCGUGAGGGGCAACAGGCGGUGCGAGAUCUGCGGCGAGAACGCGGCGAACAUCACUGGAUGGGGCGGCGGCGGCAAGGAGUUCAUGCGGCAGUGGCAUGGGAUGGCGAGCGUGGAUGGAGGAGGCUCAUCCAAGGCCAGGGGUCUCUGCACCUGCAGAACCCAGUCAUUCUGCAAUUUCUUGCUUGCGUGUUUGAUCAUUGUAUUAAUCUCGUCGUGGUUCUUCCAUAAUCGUAUGGUUUGA
rnacentral:rRNA from 1 species